rnacentral:rRNA from 1 species
GUAUGCACAUGCUUAUAGAGUUAAUGCACCAGAUCCCAUUAUAACUUUUUAGUUAAGUGCGCUUGAGAUAGAGUAGUACUAGGAUGGGUGUCUUCCCAAGAAGCCCUAGUGUUUUACAUGCC